rnacentral:rRNA from 1 species
GACGAACGCUGGCGGCGUGCUUAACACAUGCAAGUCGAACGGAAAGGCCCUGCUUUUGUGGGGUGCUCGAGUGGCGAACGGGUGAGUAACACGUGAGUAACCUGCCCUUGACUUUGGGAUAACUUCAGGAAACUGGGGCUAAUACCGGAUAGGAGCUCCUGCUGCAUGGUGGGGGUUGGAAAGUUUCGGCGGUUGGGGAUGGACUCGCGGCUUAUCAGCUUGUUGGUGGGGUAGUGGCUUACCAAGGCUUUGACGGGUAGCCGGCCUGAGAGGGUGACCGGCCACAUGGGGCCUGAGAUACGGCCCGGACUCCUACGGGAGGCAGCGGUGGGGAAUAUUGCACAAUGGGCGGAGGCCUGAUGCAGCAACGCCGCGUGCGGAAUGACGGCCUUCGGGUUGUAAACCGCUUUCGCCUGUGACGAAGCGUGAGUGACGGUAAUGGGUAAAGAAGCACCGGCUAACUACGU